rnacentral:rRNA from 1 species
UGGGGAAUAUUGGUCAAUGGGCGAAAGCCUGAACCAGCAAUGCCGCGUGAGUGAUGAAGGCCUUCGGGUUGUAAAGCUCUGUCAGUGGGAACGAAUAAGCCGAUUAAUACUCGGUGAUGACGGUACCCACAAAGGAAGCACCGGCUAACUCUGUGCCAGCAGCCGCGGUAAUACAGAGGGUGCAAGCGUUGUUCGGAAUUACUGGGCGUAAAGCGCGUGUAGGCGGUCUGAUAAGUCGGUCGUGAAAGCCCUUGGCUUAACCAAGGAACUGCGAUCGAAACUGCCGGACUAGAGUAUCGGAGGGGAUGGUGGAAUUCCCGGUGUAGAGGUGAAAUUCGUAGAUAUCGGGAGGAACACCUGUGGCGAAGGCGACCAUCUGGAAGAUUACUGACGCUGAGACGCGAAAGCGUGGGGAGCAAACAG